rnacentral:rRNA from 1 species
GAUGAACGCUAGCGGCAGGCCUAACACAUGCAAGUCGAGGGGCAGCACGUCUUCGGAUGGUGGCGACCGGCGCACGGGUGCGUAACGCGUAUGCAACCUACCUCUUACAGUGGGAUAGCCCAGAGAAAUUUGGAUUAAUACCGCAUAGUAUACAGAUUCAGCAUUGGGACUGUAUUAAACAUUUAUGGGUAAGAGAUGGGCAUGCGUUCUAUUAGUUAGUUGGAGUGGUAACGGCACCCCAAGACAGCGAUAGAUAGGGGCCCUGAGAGGGGGAGUCCCCCACACUGGUACCUGAGACACGGACCAGACUCCUACGGGAGGCAGCAGUGAGGAAUAUUGGACAAUGGGCGAGAGCCUGAUCCAGCCAUGCCGCGUGCA